GUGGGGAAUAUUGGACAAUGGGCGAAAGCCUGAUCCAGCCAUGCCGCGUGUGUGAAGAAGGUCUUCGGAUUGUAAAGCACUUUAAGUUGGGAGGAAGGGCAGUAAGUUAAUACCUUGCUGUUUUGACGUUACCGACAGAAUAAGCACCGGCUAACUUCGUGCCAGCAGCCGCGGUAAUACGAAGGGUGCAAGCGUUAAUCGGAAUUACUGGGCGUAAAGCGCGCGUAGGUGGUUUUGUAAGUUGGAGGUGAAAUCCCCGGGCUCAACCUGGGAACUGGCUGCAAAACUGCAUGACUAGAGUACGGUAGAGGGUAGUGGAAUUUCCUGUGUAGCGGUGAAAUGCGUAGAUAUAGGAAGGAACACCAGUGGCGAAGGCGACUACCUGGACUGAUACUGACACUGAGGUGCGAAAGCGUGGGGAGCAAACAGGAUUAGAUACCCCGGUAGUCC
rnacentral:rRNA from 1 species